AAACUAGGCCUUAAUACACAAUAUUUCAUCAUUGGCAUAAAUGUAGAUGUAGGAAAGGGGGGACUGUUACAUAGCUCUAGCACUGUGAUUACCAAUGGUCUAUUGUGCAUCCCCAACAGGAUCAUCUCAUAAGAAGUCCCAUCUUAAUCAUGAAAGACAGUAUCUUCUUCAAUGGCACUAUAAAAAAGAUCUUCUGGAGCAGGAAAAUGCAACCCAAGAAGACAAUACCUUAUCCCUGAAAGGGCCACACAUUCACACAAAAUAUGAAGAGGAGUUUCAUCCUCAUCUUGACAUCAUCUAUAAGUGGGGC
rnacentral:lncRNA from 1 species